AGUGAACGCUGGCGGUAGGCCUAACACAUGCAAGUCGAACGGCAGCACAGUAAGAGCUUGCUCUUACGGGUGGCGAGUGGCGGACGGGUGAGGAAUACAUCGGAAUCUACUUUUUCGUGGGGGAUAACGUAGGGAAACUUACGCUAAUACCGCAUACGACCUACGGGUGAAAGCAGGGGAUCUUCGGACCUUGCGCGAUUGAAUGAGCCGCUGUCGGAUUAGCUAGUUGGCGGGGUAAAGGCCCACCAAGGCGACGAUCCGUAGCUGGCCUGAGUGGAGGGUCGCCGGCCUUGGAGGGUGACCGCCGUCCAUGCGCCUACGGGAGGCCGCAGUGUCGAACGUUGGACAAUGGUGGGAAGCCUUGUCCAGUGGUCCCGCGUCGGAUACGACGGCCUUCGGUUCGUAAUGCCGUUUUGUUGGUUGAGAAACGCAUCAGGCUGAGACGACGCUGUACUGACGGUACCCGGAGAAUAAGCACCGGCUAACUUCGUG
rnacentral:rRNA from 1 species